UGACCUCGGAUCAGGUAGGGAUACCCGCUGAACUUAAGCAUAUCAAUAAGCGGAGGAAAUC
rnacentral:rRNA from 1 species